rnacentral:rRNA from 1 species
UAGGGAAUCUUGCGCAAUGGGCGAAAGCCUGACGCAGCGACACCGUGUGAAGGAUGAAGGCCUUCGGGUUGUAAACUUCUGUCAGUUGGAGACGAAGGCAUUAAAGGUUAAUAGCCUUUAAUGUUGACGGUAUUCAAUAAGGAAGUCUCGGCUAACUCCGUGCCAGCAGCCGCGGUAAGACGGAGGAGGCAAGCGUUGUCCGGAAUUAUUGGGCGUAAAGAGCGCGUAGGCUGUUUUUCAAGUCAUGUGUGAAAACUUCAGGCUCAACUUGAGGAUUGCAUAUGAAACUGGAUAACUUGAGUGCAGUAGAGGAAAGUGGAAUUCCUGGUGUAGCGGUGAAAUGCGCAGAUAUCAGGAAGAACACCAGUGGCGAAGGCGACUUUCUGGGCUGCUACUGACGCUGAGGCGCGAAAGCUAGGGGAGCAAACAGG